rnacentral:misc_RNA from 1 species
GAUUUUGUUAAAAUUUAUUAGUUGGUCUUUAAGUGGCAAUUAAAAUGUCCCUUAUUAAAGUAAUCCUGUUACUCUUUCGUGAGAGGCAGAUGGGGGAUAUUCAAAAUAUCCUUGAGUGCUAUCGAAAAUGUUCAAGACGUCAUAUCUCUCUGCGAAAAUACGCAAAUCACUAGUUACUGAUUCACCUGUUGAUAUUCAAUAAUCUGCCUUGUUAAAGAGUUUCGACUCUCCCCAGUUGAAGCGGUAGUCAAUGAUGAAAGCUCUGCGCACCAUCCUCAAAAGGUUCCACUCUAUUAUCUGUGCAAUAGUAAUAUGGCUGGUUAGGAUUUUUUGUAGAUUGGGAAAUGUUCACUCCACACCUCUUCCCACGUCCACAAUUGACACCAUUAACCUUUCAUCUCAUCCACUUAUGAUGCCACUUGAAAGAGACAUUGUGAUGGAAACAAUUAAACAAAGGAAAAUUGGGGGAAUGAGGAGAGGUAAACGCUGCAAAGAUGAGAGAGAAGUGACCUAAGGCGGGAAGCAACAGUGGAAGGAGGAGGGAAGAAAUGGAAGGAGGCGUUUAUGGCAGAAUAAGAAGAAGAAGAAGCAGCCUCAUCACCACCUCCUACGCCAUCCUUCUCCAUGCCUCUCUAAUCUCACAACCCUAAAACACACACAAAAAGUUCUAUACACACACACACCUAUAUACAAUUUCAAUAAAGAUCAUAUUCGGAGAAUGGGGAGGGGAUCCUUUAUUUUUUCCAAAAGCACCAGGCGUCGCCUGAAGAAGAAGUCGGGGCCUCCGUCUCCUCCAGUACUGGCACCACCUCCUCCUCCGUUGAGGGCGACAUCACUGCUGCAAGCAAUUGAUUGAUGGUAGUAGUAAUAAUAAUAAUACUUUGGUUGCAGGGACGGUUGUGAAGAUGAAGAAGAAGGUAGGAGGGGCGAGGCUGUGGAUGAGAUUUGAUAGGUUUGGGAAUUCGGAGCUAAUGGAGUGUGAUAAAAGCGCAAUUAUUAAGCGUGUACCGAUUCCCGCUAGGGAUUUGAGGAUUCUUGGCCCUGUCUUCUCCCACUCCUCCAAUAUUCUUGCCAGGGAGAAAGCCAUGGUUGUCAAUCUAGAGUUUAUAAGGGCUAUAGUUACAGCUGAAGAAGUCCUGAUUUUGGAUCCUCUAUGUCAAGAGGUUCUUCCAUUUGUGGACCAGCUCAGACAACAAAUUCCUCUUAAAAGGCCAUUUAAUACCCAGGGAGCAGCUCAUCCAGAUAUCCAAGAUAAUGAAAUGCACAUUUCAACAGGUGGGCAGUGGUUACCUGUUCCAGAAGCUGUUGAAGGUUUGCAAUGUGAGCUUCCUUUUGAGUUUCAGGUUCUGGAAAUUGCAUUGGAGGUUGUUUGCACAUAUUUGGACUCCAAUGUGGCAGACCUAGAGAGAGAUGCUUAUCCUGUUUUGGAUGAACUAGCCAGGAAUGUUAGCACCAAGAAUCUUGAACAUGUUCGAAGUUUGAAAAGCAAUCUCACACGUCUGCUUGCACGUGUGCAAAAGGUGAGGGAUGAAAUUGAACAUCUAUUAGAUGAUAAUGAAGAUAUGGCAGAUUUAUAUUUGACAAGGAAGUGGGUGCAGAAUCAGCAAUCUGAGGCUUUAUUGGGAACUGCAGCUUCAAAUAGCAUUAUCACUUUUACCCCUCAUCUCCGCCGACUUAAUUCUAGUCACAGUGCAAGUCAGGUGACAGGCAGCAUUGAUGAAAAUGAUGUGGAGGAAUUGGAGAUGUUGCUUGAAGCAUAUUUUAUGCAGUUGGAUGGAACACGUAACAAGAUCUUGUCUGUUCGUGAGUAUAUUGAUGACACAGAAGACUAUGUCAACAUCCAACUAGAUCAGCAGCGAAAUGAACUCAUUCAACUUCAGCUGACAUUAACUAUUGCAUCAUUUGCAAUAGCGUUGGAUACCUUAAUAGCAUCGUUCUUUGGCAUGAAUAUCCCUUGUCGAUUGUACAAAAUGAAUGGGGUAUUUGGGUACUUUGUUGGAAGUACUUCAGCAGGAUGUUUCUUGGUUUUCCUGCUGGUUCUAGGAUAUGCUAGAUGGAAGAAAUUGCUUGGUACAUAAAGUCUAGCUUAUUUCAACAACAGCAUGCACUACAUAUUUGGGGUUCAUGCAAGUAAUUGCUUACUAGUCCUGGUAAAUGCGAAGUCGUCUGAGGUGUAUAAUUAGGAGGUGGCGCAGCCAAUCUGUAUCAAAUGCUCCUCCUCUGUUUUUUAAUGAUGAAAUGCACUGAAAUUAUGAUUUCAGGCAAAUAAACCCCUCUAGUUUUUUUUUUUUUUUUU